AUACUGGACAGGCCGAGUCCUAGAACAGCACACACACGGCUCUCCAGCCAUUGAGGGAAGGCAAAUGGAGGUGAAGUAAUAGUGGUCUGGCCCAACUGCAAUAUCCAGAGACUUUUCGGUGUCAUAUGAAAGAAAAGGAGCAGGAAGCCAAGAUGCCCCACCUGGCUUCUACAUCAGGGUGAUCUGCAUAGGCCUGCUCUCUGUCAUGUGAUGCUAUACUACAGCCAGGCUGGAAUUUGGUGUCUUAUUGCUACAAAGAAUCAGCUUUGUCAAUCCUAAGGUCACUGAGAGGCUGCCAGAGGGCCAUUUUCAUGACCAGAGGGAUCUGUUCAACACCCUGUGGGUCCCAGCACCUAUCUCAGGAAGCAGGGUGCAUCUGUCCACCACCAAGUCUCAGGGUGGCUGGGUGAGCGCUCAUCAGUCCCAGACAGCAGGUUGGCACAAAACGACACUGCCCACAAAACCACAGGAAGAAGAGAAACUCCGACUGUCUUUCAGCACACAGAAGACACUGUACUGGACCCGGACAUUAGGCAGACACCCACGCCUGACUUUCAGGAGAAAAGAGAACAUGACUAACGGAUAUUCUUAGUAGAUGGUUUAUUAGAAAAGAGAACAUCUUCCAGCAUGUGUCCUGGGGUGAUGGGUGUGGGAAGCACUCAGUCCAUAGUCCUGGUCCCUGGCUUCCCCAAGCCCAGCACCAUGAAUGUACAGUGGAAAGCAGAGGGUGCAGCGUCUCAGAAAGAUGCUUCCACUCACAAGGAUUGGAGCUCACAAGUGAGCUCCAUAACCUGCAAACCAGAGAAACCUGAGACACUGCCCCUUGGCCAUUUUAUCAACGGAGACUUUAUUGUGAUUAUCCCGGCAGGGGGCCGAGCUCUCCUCUCUGCAACAGGAAAUGCUCUUUAGUGAAAAUGCAGCAUUUCUCCAAGGGUAACAAAGCUGAACGCCUGCUUAGCUUAUGAACCCUCAGUUGGCCUAGGUGGUGCAAAGACCCUGCUGUUACUGCUUUGAUCAUCAGUACUGUGGACUGUACCAGGAGAUCCCUGGGAAUGUGCUCUGGGCGGAAGCAGCUUUUAUCUUUGGCCCUCACCCAUGCUUUAUAUGGUGAGGUUGGGAAAAUGGCACAAGGCUUCUCCUGAACCUCAAAUCAACACCCUUGCCCCAUUUAGAUCCUAUCUGGCUGUUUCUUGCUAAUAUUACUGCAUCACUGCA
ensembl:lncRNA LINC01366 long intergenic non-protein coding RNA 1366